rnacentral:misc_RNA from 1 species
GAUGAAGAACGUAGCGAAAUGCGAUACGUAAUGUGAAUUGCAGAAUUCAGUGAAUCAUCGAAUCUUUGAACGCAUAUUGCGCUCUUUGGUAUUCCGAAGAGCAUGCUUGUUUGAGUAUCAGUAAACACCUCAAAGCUUUUGGAUUUUUUAAUCGAAAAGCUUUGGACUUGAGCAAUCCCAACACCAAUCUUUUUGAGAUCGGUGGCGGGUUGCUUGAAAUGCAGGUGCAGCUGGACAUUCUCCUGAGCUAAAAGCAUAUUCAUUUAGUCCCGUCAAACGGAUUAUUACUUUUGCUGCAGCUAACAUAAAGGGAGUUUGACCGUAUUGGCUGACUGAUGCAGGAUUUCACAAGGGUCGGCAACGAUUCUUGUUAAACUCGAUCUCAAAUCAAGUAAGACUACCCGCUGAACUUAAGCAUAUAAUAAGCGGAGGA